AUUUCAAAGUAUAUAAAAUAAAUAGAGAAAUAAAUACAUAGCAGAACUCAGAAUUAAAAUAAAACAACUCACAGAACGUCAUAAAAAAAAAAAUUUUGAUCAAUCUGCGAAAGUGAAAAGUUCGGCUAUGAUAUGAAAAUUACGAAUCGAAGUUGGGUAAUUUGGUUUCUCCUUCUAUCUCAGGCACUCUAUCGUAUGGUGUGGAACCGAUGGUAAUUCUUCACCAGAAUGCGUAUAAGAAGGUGGCAGGACCAAUAUCCUUUUAUAUAGAGUCUAGAUCGACUUCCCAUCAAAUCUAUCCUUUUGAUCAUUUUGACUCGUUAGAUCAUACUAUUCAACCAACCACCCACUCAAUCCUAGGAAGCCCACAUCAUCCUAACCGCACAUCUCUUAAUUCAAUGACCAAAAACUUGGUGGCACCAAUGACUUGGUGCUAUUAAUAGUAUAUUAGCCUAGUUCUAUAUAUAUAAAAAAUAGAGUAUGGUUACUAUACUCUUUUGAGUAUAGAGUUCUUCGUACUUAUAUAUUAUUUUCGAUGAUUGAGCUUUCGAAUUGACGAUCCACACCAUUAAAUAUAAUCUAAAUUAUUUAAAAGUUUUAGAAAUAAAAUUCGUAAUUUUUUGAAAUUAUAAUAAAGUCCAUCAAGCGAGUAUAAAAUGAACGAUCAAAAUCAAACAACGUCCUAAGAAUCGAACGACAUCCUAAAAAUAGAUAAAUAGAUUCCUUAAUUAAAAAUCAGGAUUAUUGAUCUUUAUCUAAAUACUGAAUAAAAUUUUUUAUCAAAAAUUCAACCGAUUCUGAUUUCUUUACACAAUUAAACUAGCAAGUAUUCCAUACCGGUUGUUAGAAUUAAUUUGUCGAUUUUGAGAUCUUUUGAUCGUAAGGUAAAUGAUAUUAAAAAAAUUAUGAAAUUUGAUUUCUAUAAAUUUUAAAUACUCAAAAUAAUAUUUAAUGGUAUGAAUCGUCGAUUCAAAAACUUUAUCAUUGAAAAUAACUUAUGAGUACGAAGACGAUUGUAUUUAUAAGAGUAUAGUAAUCGAAUUCAUAUAUAUAUAUGUAUGUAUAUAUAUAUAUGUAUGUAUAUAUAUAUAUGU
rnacentral:lncRNA from 1 species